AGCAGCCGCGGUAAUUCCAGCUCCAAUAGCGUAUAUUAAAGUUGUUGUAGUUAAAAAGCUCGUAGUUGAAUUUCGGGAUCAAAGGAUCGGUCAUGCCUUGGUAUGUACUGGUUUUAUUGGUUCUCACCUUCUAAAGAACCAUAAUGUCAUUCAUUUGAUGUUAUGGGGAAUUAGGACUGUUACCUUGAAAAAAUUAGAGUGUUUAAAGCAGGCUUACGCUUGAAUACAUUAGCAUGGAAUAAUGAAAUAGGACAUCAGAUUCUAUUUUGUUGGUUUCUAGGAUCGAUGUAAUGAUUAAUAGGGAUAGUUGGGGGCAUUAGUAUUCAAUUGUCAGAGGUGAAAUUCUUGGAUUUAUUGAAGACUAACUACUGCGAAAGCAUUUGCCAAGGAUGUUUUCAUUAAUCAAGAACGAAAGUUAGGGGAUCGAAGACGAUCAGAUACCGUCGUAGUCUUAACCAUAAACUAUGCCGACUAGGGAUCGGAUGAUGUUAAUUUAUAAUGACUCAUUCGG
rnacentral:misc_RNA from 1 species